rnacentral:rRNA from 1 species
GAUGAACGCUGGCGGCGUGCCUAAUACAUGCAAGUCGAGCGAAUGGAUUGAGAGCUUGCUCUUAUGAAGUUAGCGGCGGACGGGUGAGUAGCACGUGGGUAACCUGCCCAUAAGACUGGGAUAACUCCGGGAAACCGGGGCUAAUACCGGAUAACAUUUUGAACCGCAUGGUUCGAAAUUGAAAGGCGGCUUCGGCUGUCACUUAUGGAUGGACCCGCGUCGCAUGAGCUAGUUGGUGAGGUAACGGCUCACCAAGGCAACGAUGCGUAGCCGACCUGAGAGGGUGAUCGGCCACACUGGGACUGGGACACGGCCCAGACUCCUACGGGAGGCAGCAGUAGGGAAUCUUCCGCAAUGGACGAAAGUCUGACGGAGCAACGCCGCGUGAGUGAUGAAGGCUUUCGGGUCGUAAAACUCUGUUGUUAGGGAAGAACAAGUGCUAGUUGAAUAAGCUGGCACCUUGACGGUACCUAACCAGAAAGCCACGGCUAACUACGUGCCAGCCGCCGCAGUAA